rnacentral:misc_RNA from 1 species
GAAGGAGAUUAUGCAGCUCCAACAAUCCACCCACUACUACUCACAACAAAAGUAGUAGGAAAAGAUGAAGAGACAAGUGUAAAACCAGCCGCUACCAAUGUAAAAUUUUAAACACACAACAAAACUUUAGUUUGUGUAAAUAGUCCAUCCAUAUCAAUCCAAUACACAAAUAUUUCAGCAUCAAAAUGAAUAUAAAUUAUAAA